AGUCGAGCGAGCUUGCCUAGAUGAUUUUAGUGCUUGCACUAAAUGAAACUAGAUACAAGCGAGCGGCGGACGGGUGAGUAACACGUGGGUAACCUGCCCAAGAGACUGGGAUAACACCUGGAAACAGAUGCUAAUACCGGAUAACAAUACUAGACGCAUGUCUAGAGUUUGAAAGAUGGUUCUGCUAUCACUCUUGGAUGGACCUGCGGUGCAUUAGCUAGUUGGUAAGGUAACGGCUUACCAAGGCAAUGAUGCAUAGCCGAGUUGAGAGACUGAUCGGCCACAUUGGGACUGAGACACGGCCCAAACUCCUACGGGAGGCAGCAGUAGGGAAUCUUCCACAAUGGACGAAAGUCUGAUGGAGCAACGCCGCGUGAGUGAAGAAGGGUUUCGGCUCGUAAAGCUCUGUUGGUAGUGAAGAAAGAUAGAGGUAGUAACUGGCCUUUAUUUGACGGUAAUUACUUAGAAAGUCACGGCUAACUACGUGCCAGCAGCCGCGGUAAUACGUAGGUGGCAAGCGUUGUCCGGAUUUAUUGGGCGUAAAGCGAGUGCAGGCGGUUCAAUAAGUCUGAUGUGAAAGCCUUCGGCUCAACCGGAGAAUUGCAUCAGAAACUGUUGAACUUGAGUGCA
rnacentral:rRNA from 1 species